rnacentral:lncRNA from 1 species
AGACCUGCAGAGGUGAGGAAGAGGGGAGACAGAUCCUAGACCUGCAGAGGUGAGGAAGAGGGGAGACAGAUCCUAGACCUGCAGAGGUGAGGAAGAGGGAGACAGAUCCUAGACCUGCAGAGGUGAGGAAGAGGAGAGACAGAUCCUAGACCUGCAGAGGUAAAGAGCAGAUCUCUGCAGCCCAGAUCAAGAUCCUAAAGAAACACUCUGAAGCUCUUCAGGUCUCCCCCAUCUCUCCCUCCACCCCUCUCUCUCUCCCCUCUCUCUCUCUCUCUCUCUCUCUGUAAUCUCCUCUCUCUAAUCCUCUCUCUCUCUCUAAUCCUCUCUCUCUCUCUCUAAUCCUCUCUCUCUCUCUAAUCUCUCUCUCUCUCUCUAAUCCUCUCUCUCUCUCUCUAAUCCUCUCUCUCUCUCUCUCUCUGUAAUCUCCUCUCUCUCUCUAAUCCUCUCUCUCUCUCUCUCUCUCUCUCUGUAAUCUCCUCUCUCUCUCUCUAAUCCUCUCUCUCUCUCUCUAAUCCUCUCUCUCUCUCUCUAAUCCUCUCUCUCUCUGUAAUCUCCUCUCUCUCUCUCUAAUCCUCUCUCUCUCUCUCUGUAAUCUCCUCUCUCUCUCUCUCUAAUCCUCUCUCUCUCUCUCUCUCUCUCUGUAAUCUCCUCUCUCUCUCUCUCCCCCCCCCCCUCUCUCUCUCCUCCCUCCUCUCUCAGGCCUUGUAGUCCUGGUCUGAAGCUCCUUGUUCCUGUUAAUCUCCAAAACAUUGUUUGCUCUUUAUCUUUUGUGGAGCAGUUUGUUUUUAAAAGAAAUAUUUCCAAACCGUUUUAAUCUGGUUUUGAUGACAAAAACACGUUUUUGCUAAUUAAAUUCCCCCAGGAUAUCUUGCCUCUUCCUCCUGUCUGCUGGCCUCUUCUUCCUCUGUCCCCUCCUUCCUGUCUCUCUCCCAACUGUGUGUCUAUUUUAUAUAGUUUCAAACACUUUCUUUCUCACACUUGUUAGAGAGAGAUAGAGAGGGGGAGGGAAGGAAGGAAGGAGAGAGAGGGAAGGAAGGGGAGAGGGAGGGAAGGAAGGAAGGGGAGAGGGAGGGAAGGAAGGAAGGGGAGAGAGAGAGGGAAGGAAGGGGAGAGAGAGAGGGAAGAAAGGGGAGAGAGGGAAGGAAGGAAGGAGAGAGGGAAGGAAGGAGAGAGGGAGGAGGGAGGGAAGGGUGGAAGGAGAGGAAGAGAGAGAGAGAGGAGGGAAGGAAGGAGAGAGGGAAGGAAGGAGAGAGGGAAGGAAGGGAG